CUGUGUUUCAUUUGCGAUACUGAAGAUAACAUUAAUUUCAAUAUUUUCAAUUAUUCUAUUUUUAUCUUUCAUUCACAAUUUGCUCUUUUCUUCUGAUUAACUUUAUUGUAUCAUUGUCCAAUUUAUUAAUUAACAUAAUCUCAACAUUUUUAAUUUGCAAUGCACUUGGACACCGUUGGACUAACCAAGAACAAACAGCUUUUGUACAGAGAGAGAGGGCUAAUUAAUAUCUCAUUGAGCUAAUUUACGACGAUACAAGGCUACAAAGCCGGUGUCAUAUAAUUAACAUCUGAACAUGAAGUCGAAAAAUAAAAGGAGUGGGAUUGAAUGAAACAACUCAGUGGGACGUUAUAAAAUCCGUAUACUUGCAUACUUUCUACAUUUACAGAUAUCUAUGCGUCGAUAAAUACAAGACAAGAUAUACUGUAAUAUAAGGAAGACUAUUUCCUACGAUCGAUUAUUACUUAUUGUUUCUUGGAUUCUACGAAUUUUAUUUUACGUAUGCCAUUAUAACCCCAAUUGUAAACAAACUUCAAGUGUCGCCAUUAUUUAAAUAAAUAAAUAUUCCUUUUGUCUCCUUUUUUUUUUUAUUCGAUUUUACAUUGUGCAGUCGUUGUGCGUGUAUAUGCACGAUUGUUCGAGUAAAGUGCUUGAAUUUUUGCGAAUAAAUGUAUCAUUCGGACGAUGAUUAUUAUUAUUAUAUUCGGUUUCAAUAUUAAAAUAGCAAUUUCUCAUUGUUUUGUAUAAAAGGAGAAUCGAAUAAAGAAAUAAAAAAUAAUUCUUUCCAUUUAAUCUAUCUCUAAAUUAUAUUCUAUUAGAUUCUGUUAUAUAAAAAUUUCUAUAUUAAUUAUAUUCGCAAUAGUACGUAUUAUUUUGCAAUUUUGCAACGUUCGUCCUGGUACGAUCUCCCGAAUAAUAAAGAUAUUCGCAUUUUACAUGCACCUAUUAUUUAUCUGUUUCUUAAAUUAUU